ACGAACGCUGGCGGCAGGCUUAACACAUGCCAGUCGAACGCCCCGCAAGGGGAGUGGCAGACGGGUGAGUAACGCGUGGGAACAUACCCUUUUCUACGGAAUAGCUCUGGGAAACUGGAAUUAAUACCGUAUACGCCCUACGGGGGAAAGAUUUAUCGGGGAAGGAUUGGCCCGCGUUGGAUUAGCUAGUUGGUGGGGUAAAGGCCUACCAAGGCGACGAUCCAUAGCUGGUCUGAGAGGAUGAUCAGCCACAUUGGGACUGAGACACGGCCCAAACUCCUACGGGAGGCAGCAGUGGGGAAUAUUGGACAAUGGGCGCAAGCCUGAUCCAGCCAUGCCGCGUGAGUGAUGAAGGCCUUAGGGUUGUAAAGCUCUUUCACCGAUGAAGAUAAUGACGGUAGUCGGAGAAGAAGCCCCGGCUAACUUCGUG
rnacentral:rRNA from 1 species